rnacentral:tRNA from 3 species
AGCCGGGUCGUCUAGCGGCCAAGGAUGGCGGGCUUUGGACCCGUUGACCCCGGUUCGAAUCCGGGCCCGGCUACCA